GGGAAUCUUCGGCAAUGGGCGAAAGCCUGACCGAGCAACGCCGCGUGAAUGAAGAAGGCCUUCGGGUUGUAAAAUUCUGUUAUAAGGGAAGAAAGGUGAUAGGAGGAAAUGACUAUCAAUUGACGGUACCUUAUGAGAAAGCCACGGCUAACUACGUGCCAGCAGCCGCGGUAAUACGUAGGUGGCAAGCGUUAUCCGGAUUUAUUGGGCGUAAAGGGAACGCAGGCGGUCUUUUAAGUCUGAUGUGAAAGCCCACGGCUUAACCGUGGAGGGUCAUUGGAAACUGGGAGACUUGAGUGCAGAAGAGGAGAGUGGAAUUCCAUGUGUAGCGGUGAAAUGCGUAGAUAUAUGGAGGAACACCAGUGGCGAAGGCGGCUCUCUGGUCUGUAACUGACGCUGAGGCUCGAAAGCGUGGGGAGCA
rnacentral:rRNA from 1 species